AUUGGAGGUACAGGCUUUUUUAUCUGGUUUCGGUCUGGACCAAUUAGCGACUUGAGAUCUGCAUCAGCAUCUUGUGAAUCUUGUGUCAAGACGUAACUGAAAUCCAUGCCUGGUGGUAUAACCUGUUCCCAUAAAGACAGAUAAAAAGGACUCAUACCACCAUUCGGGGCAUGUAUCGGCCAAAGCAGCUGACUCCACGCCGUCUUCUAACCCUGAGCUUCCUUUCAAGCUUGAUAUCAAACCCAUCGUACAGUCCCCACUGUGCCUCAAUCUCUUGCCGUGUGCUUGUCACCACCAUCUCGGCAGCAUCUAGGCUGAGCUCUUCAGCUUCAAUUCUCCUCAUGAUCUUGUAUGUUUUGUUGAUAUCCUCUCUGGUAUUUCUCCCUUGUUUAAGCAACUGCUCAAACUUGUUCCUUCCCAAAGAGUGACCGGUUAGCACCAUCGGCACAUUCAACGUUCCUGCCAAAUGUGCAGCUACUUCCCCUGCAUCUGCAUAGUGGCCAUGAAUCACAUAAGGCCAUAUUGGCUUCCCUCCAUUCACUUGCUCUCCGAGAGACCUUGCUAUGUCCACUAUGUGAUUUAACGCCCCAUCAACAAACUCGUGAAUAUGAGGCCAGAGUGAUUCCUUUGGUAUGUACCUGCAUUUGAAAAAAAAAAACAUGAGUAUAGAGAAACUAGAUGCUCUUUUUAAAAGAUAGAAUCAGAAUACAUAGUUUUCUAAGGAGUCUUAUGGUGAUAGUACUUGUCUCUAGAACCGCAGGGGAUGCGGAUAAUGUAGGAACCACAGCUUCCGCUACCUUCUGGUGGGCAUGAUAACAUCUCGACUGGCUCUCCAUAGCUUGAGUCAACCUCUGGUGAACUGAUCUGCCGUGUUAAGAGGUCGACCCUGUGGACACCUUCGGUGUUGGCCAAAGCGCGAGCAAGCUCAACAACAUAUUUCACCUAAUCAUAUCCAUUAACAAAACCAGAGGGUAGCAUGUGAAUAAUUUAUGCUUUGCAAAGAAGUCUUACUGCUAAAAAUACCUGGCCGCCAGUAUCAGAGUCUCUUCCAAGCUCCAUGUUUUCUCCACGCACAAGUCCAUGCAUACUGCAGUGGGCAAAUUACAAAACCAGAUAAGAGGCACCUGAGCGGAUACGAGGCAUCAUAUUAUCUCGGGAUGGCUCGAGAGCCGUAACAACGUCACUCUUCUCCUUCUCUCCUUCAGAAAGCUCGGAGAGAUCCUCUUCUGCAUCAUUGCGUCCUUGUUCACGUUCAUCUCUUCGUUUG